rnacentral:rRNA from 1 species
UACGUAGGGUGCAAGCGUUGUCCGGAAUUAUUGGGCGUAAAGAGCUCGUAGGCGGUCUGUCGCGUCGAAUGUGAAAACCCGGGGCUCAACCCCGGGCCUGCACUCGAUACGGGCAGACUAGAGUUCGGUAGGGGAGUCUGGAAUUCCUGGUGUAGCGGUGAAAUGCGCAGAUAUCAGGAGGAACACCGGUGGCGAAGGCGGUUCUCUGGGCAUUACCUGACGCUGAGGAGCGAAAGCGUGGGGAGCAAACAGG